rnacentral:snRNA from 1 species
GGAUGCGAGGGCAAUCUGGCUGCGACACCUGUCACCCCAUGGAUCUCCAAGGCUGACUCUGCUGACCUGGCUGGUGAGGCGGUGUCCCCCAUCCUCCCUCACCGGU